AUUGAACGCUGGCGGCGUGCUUAACACAUGCAAGUUGAACAAGAACGGAUUAUAGCUUGCUAUAAUUGUCAGCUAAGUGGCGCACGGGUGAGUAAUGUGUAGGUAAUAUGCCUCUUACUAAGGGAUAACAAAUGGAAACGUUUGCUAAUACCUUAUACUCCUUAUUAACAGAAGUUAAUAAGGGAAAGAUUUAUUGGUAAGAGAUUAGCCUGUAUUGUAUCAGUUAGUUGGUGGGGUAAUGGCUUACCAAGACUAUGACACAUAACUGGUUUGAGAGGAUGAUCAGUCACACUGGAACUGAGACACGGUCCAGACUCCUACGGGAGGCAGCAGUGGGGAAUAUUGCACAAUGGACGAAAGUCUGAUGCAGCAACGCCGCGUGGAGGAUGACACAUUUCGGUGCGUAAACUCCUUUUAUAUGAGAAGAUAAUGACGGUAUUAUAUGAAUAAGCACCGGCUAACUCCGUGCCAGCAGCCGCAGUAAUAC
rnacentral:rRNA from 1 species